rnacentral:rRNA from 1 species
CUCUUCCUACGGGACGCAGCAGUGGGGAAUAUUGCACAAUGGGGGAAACCCUGAUGCAGCGACGCCGCGUGAGCGAAGAAGUAUUUCGGUAUGUAAAGCUCUAUCAGCAGGGAAGAAAAAUGACGGUACCUGAGUAAGAAGCACCGGCUAAAUACGUGCCUGCAGCCGCGGUAAUACGUAUGGUGCAAGCGUUAUCCGGAUUUACUGGGUGUAAAGGGAGCGCAGGCGGUGCGGCAAGUCUGAUGUGAAAGCCCGGGGCUCAACCCCGGGACUGCCUUGGAAACUACCGAACCAGAGUGUCGGAG